AUUGAACGCUGGCGGAAUGCUUUACACAUGCAAGUCGAACGGUAGAGGGGGCAACCCCUCGAGAGUGGCGAACGGGUGAGUAAUAUAUCGGAACGUGCCCAGUCGUGGGGAUAACGUAGCGAAAGUUACGCUAAUACCGCAUACGAUCUAUGGAUGAAAGCGGGGGAUCGCAAGACCUCGCGCGAUUGGAGCGGCCGAUGUCAGAUUAGGUAGUUGGUGGGGUAAAGGCUCACCAAGCCGACGAUCUGUAGCUGGUCUGAGAGGACGACCAGCCACACUGGAACUGAGACACGGUCCAGACUCCUACGGGAGGCAGCAGUGGGGAAUUUUGGACAAUGGGCGCAAGCCUGAUCCAGCAAUGCCGCGUGCAGGAAGAAGGCCUUCGGGUUGUAAACUGCUUUUGUACGGAACGAAAAGGCUCUGGUUAAUACCUGGGGCUCAUGACGGUACCGUAAGAAUAAGCACCGGCUAACUACGUG
rnacentral:rRNA from 1 species